rnacentral:rRNA from 1 species
UGGGGAAUUUUGGACAAUGGGCGAAAGCCUGAUCCAGCAAUGCCGCGUGUGUGAAGAAGGCCUUCGGGUUGUAAAGCACUUUUGUCCGGAAAGAAAUGGCUCUGGUUAAUACCUGGGGUCGAUGACGGUACCGGAAGAAUAAGGACCGGCUAACUACGUGCCAGCAGCCGCGGUAAUACGUAGGGGCCAAGCGUUAAUCGGAAUUACUGGGCGUAAAGCGUGCGCAGGCGGUUGUGCAAGACCGAUGUGAAAUCCCCGAGCUUAACUUGGGAAUUGCAUUGGUGACUGCACGGCUAGAGUGUGUCAGAGGGGGGUAGAAUUCCACGUGUAGCAGUGAAAUGCGUAGAGAUGUGGAGGAAUACCGAUGGCGAAGGCAGCCCCCUGGGAUAACACUGACGCUCAUGCACGAAAGCGUGGGAAGCAAACAGG